UCCUCAUUGGUCUAACGGCUAUGAUACCACUCUUUCACUGAUGUACGGCAGAAAUGUUCCAGGGUACAGUGGGGACCAGGGUUCGACUCCCUGAUGGGGAA